AAAACCCGAAAAGGGCGGCUUAGGCAAAAAUGGGCAGCUCGCUAAGUUGAAAACCUGAAAGGGCGGCUUAGGCAAAAAUUAGAGCUUAAAUAAAUAAAGUUGGAAAAUGCUCGGAAAGCUUAAAAGUCAAAUGACAUUCCCAAUUAAAGCAAUAAAGUCAAACAGUCCGAAGUCAAGCAGAAAGCAAAAGAGUCCAAGA
rnacentral:lncRNA from 1 species